GAGAGAGAGAGAGAGAGAGAGGUAGUACCUGUCGUCGUGAAGUUGAGGAAGGCUCUGCUCUGCUAUCUUCGUGAGCUUGAGGAAAAAAGCGGCUCUGCUGUCUUCGUGAAGAAGUGGUGUGGCUGCAUCAGGUAAGUAAAUAGUAGGUUUAUUGAUUUUUUAAUUAAAAGAAAAAAAAAACUUACCUUUGCUGUGAAGAGACGUCGCCUCUCGCCUCUCCAGUCUGAGGCGUCGCCUCUCGCCUCUCCAGUCUGAGGCGUCGCCUCCUCAAAGUCCAGUCAGGCGUUCCAGUCGAGG
rnacentral:misc_RNA from 1 species